GAUGAACGCUGGCGGCGUGCCUAAUACAUGCCAGUCGAGCGAACAGACGAGGAGCUUGCUCCUCUGACGUUAGCGGCGGACGGGUGAGUAACACGUGGAUAACCUACCUAUAAGACUGGGAUAACUUCGGGAAACCGGAGCUAAUACCGGAUAAUAUAUUGAACCGCAUGGUUCAAUAGUGAAAGACGGUUUUGCUGUCACUUAUAGAUGGAUCCGCGCCGCAUUAGCUAGUUGGUAAGGUAACGGCUUACCAAGGCAACGAUGCGUAGCCGACCUGAGAGGGUGAUCGGCCACACUGGAACUGAGACACGGUCCAGACUCCUACGGGAGGCAGCAGUAGGGAAUCUUCCGCAAUGGGCGGAAGCCUGACGGAGCAACGCCGCGUGAGUGAUGAAGGUCUUCGGAUCGUAAAACUCUGUUAUUAGGGAAGAACAAAUGUGUAAGUAACUAUGCACGUCUUGACGGUACCUAAUCAGAAAGCCACGGCUAACUACGUG
rnacentral:rRNA from 1 species